rnacentral:rRNA from 1 species
UUUAAGGUCUAACCUGCCCAAUGAGGGAUUAAAUGGCCGCAGUAUUUUGACUGUGCAAAGGUAGCAUAAUUAUUAGUUUUUUAAUUGAAAGCUUGUAUGAAGGGUUGGACGAGAUAAAAUCUGUCUUUAUUUAAAUUAUAAUAGAAUUUAACUUUUAAGUCAAAAGGCUUAAAUUUUUAUAAAAGACGAGAAGACCCUAUAGAUCUUUAUUUAGUUAAGAUUUUAAUAAUUUAGGAUUAUUUUAAUUUAAAGUUUUAAUUAAAUUUUAUUGGGGUAAUAUAAAGAUUAAAAUAAUUCUUUUUAUUUUUUACAUUGAUUUAUGAAUUUAUGAUCCGAUAUUAUUGAUUAUAAGAUUAAGUUACCUUAGGGAUAACAGCGUNAUUUUUUUGGAGAGCUCAUAUCGAUAAAAAAGUUUGCGACCUCGAUGUUGGAUUAAAAAUUAGCUUGGGUGCAGAAGCUCAAGAUUUUGGUCUGUUCNACCAUUAAAUUUUUACAUGAUCUGAGUUCAGACCGGCGUAAGCCAGGUCGGUUUCUAUCUUUAUUUAAUUAAAAUAUUUUAGUACGAAAGGACCAAAUAUUUAAUAUAGUAUAUUUAUUUUUUGAAUAAUAUU